CCUACGGGAGGCAGCAGUGGGGAAUUUUGGACAAUGGGCGAAAGCCUGAUCCAGCCAUUCCGCGUGCAGGACGAAGGCCUUCGGGUUGUAAACUGCUUUUGUACGGAACGAAAAGGUUUCAGCUAAUACCUGGGACUCAUGACGGUACCGUAAGAAUAAGCACCGGCUAACUACGUGCCAGCAGCCGCGGUAAUACGUAGGGUGCGAGCGUUAAUCGGAAUUACUGGGCGUAAAGCGUGCGCAGGCGGUCUUGUAAGACAGAUGUGAAAUCCCCGGGCUCAACCUGGGAACUGCAUUUGUGACUGCAAGGCUGGAGUGCGGCAGAGGGGGAUGGAAUUCCGCGUGUAGCAGUGAAAUGCGUAGAUAUGCGGAGGAACACCGAUGGCGAAGGCAAUCCCCUGGGCCUGCACUGACGCUCAUGCACGAAAGCGUGGGGAGCAAACAGGAUUAGAUACCCUGGUAGUCCACGCCCUAAACGAUGUCAACUGGUUGUUGGGUCUUCACUGACUCAGUAACGAGCUAACGCGUGAAGUUGACCGCCUGGGGUGGUACGGCGCGAGUAGUUAACGUUACGAAGAGUUAGNGGCGNGAGAGNGCGAGGACGACGACGAGGGAGGAGG
rnacentral:rRNA from 1 species